UUCACGUGAGAGUUCACUUCAAAAAUUUGUAGUCUAUUUCAGCUUCUCUAUCAAACAGAUCCAGCUUCACGAGCUCUAAGUUUAGAAAAACUGAAAUUAGCGCUCUCACUUUAAGAAUUUGAAGUCCAUUUCAGUUUCUUCUAUCCAAACAGUCCAGCUCUAGUUCAAAAAAACUGAAAUUAGCAGCCAGUCUCAUAAAAUUUUAAAACUUCUCUAAAGGUGCUUUGAAAACACCUCAUAAAGUUGCAUAAAAAUUACCCACCAUGUCAUUAGUUACAUGAUCUACCGAUUCAUGUCUCUAGUCAUUAAGGAUAAUUAAGAAAAAUCGCACAAAUUAAUUGUAUUAUAGAAGCUGAAGUCUACGUGUAAGCCAAAUACUCUUAAACCUUGCCUUACCAAUUUGUUGAAGUUGUUUCACUUUCAUGGUGAAGCUAGAAAAUCGAAGUUGUAAUUUUUGAAGUGAAGCCCUUCCAAACAGGGCCUUAAAUUUGGGUUUGUUGCAGCUAUUACAGCACUUAGUGCAAAAUUUAACUGCUACAUCUUCAGUCAAGCAUUUUAAAACUAAAACGUGGGAUUGGUUCUAGAAACAUAUGAAAAAUUUAAUACCCAUACGUAGUUUAGGGUGGUAGACCUUGCCACUGUUGACGUCAGGAAGGCGGGAGCUUCACCCUUCUAGUUGAUAUGCUGUGCCAAUUGCGCGACCUCUCUAUGGGAAGUAUAUUUGUUUCCUUUUUUCACUACUCUCUGGAAAGUAUUUUUUCUAGUGCAAUGCAAGUGGACAAGAAUCAAGUUGCUGUUUUUUUCGGAUUAAAACCAGCUGUUCGGACUGCUACAACUGCAAUAUAUAGAGAAAAAAUACUGUAGAUGAUAGAUGAAGAAAGUAAAAUUUAUAUAUGGAGUCUGUAAGAUGUACUUGGUAGCAUAAGUAGUAGAGAUAAUGCCUUUGAUCCUAUAUUAUAUACUUUCUAUAUUUUAUCAUUUGGUCAACAAUCAAUAAUUCAAGCAUAUCAACAUGAGAAAAUCCCUAUUUAACACUAGGCAAACUUAUCCUUCCCUAUUCAACACCGAAACUUAAAAUCUUCUCUAACUGUUACAGGUAGGGAGGAUUUUAAGUUUUGAUGUCAAAUAGGGAAACAAAAGUUUUUCUAUUGUCAAAUAGGAAAUUUUCACUAUCAACAUCGAUAUCUUUGGUCAAGUUAUAUUUAAGGGGGUGUUUAGGAGUGAAGUUGUUUUAUAGUUUUGGAAAAAUACUGCAUUAUUCUUAAAUACUGUAGUAUUAUAUACAUAAUGGUUUUUGGCAAGCUAGCUAAAGUCUCUGUUUU